CUUGAACUGCAGAUGACAUCCUACGAAAGUAGGCUUCCGCAAGGUCGGUGUACAGGUGGUGCAUGGUUGUCGUCAGCUCGUGUCGUGAGAUGUUGGGUUAAGUCCCGCAACGAGCGCAACCCUCGUCCCAUGUUGCCAGCGGGUUAUGCCGGGGACUCAUGGGAGACUGCCGGGGUCAACUCGGAGGAAGGUGGGGAUGACGUCAAAUCAUCAUGCCCCUUAUGUCUUGGGCUUCACGCAUGCUACAAUGGCCGGUACAAAGGGCUGCGAUACCGCGAGGUGGAGCGAAUCCCAAAAAGCCGGUCUCAGUUCGGAUUGGGGUCUGCAACUCGACCCCAUGAAGUCGGAGUCGCUAGUAAUCGCAGAUCAGCAACGCUGCGGUGAAUACGUUCCCGGGCCU
rnacentral:rRNA from 1 species